GACGAACGCUGGCGGCGUGCUUAACACAUGCAAGUCGAACGGAAAGGCUCCAGCUUGCUGGAGUACUCGAAUGGCGAACGGGUGAGUAACACGUGGGUGAUCUGCCCUGCACUUCGGGAUAAGCCUGGGAAACUGGGUCUAAUACCGGAUAGGACCGCACUUUGGUGUGUGUGGUGGAAAGGGUUUUCUGGUGUGGGAUGAGCUCGCGGCCUUUCUGUUUGUUGGUGGGGUAAUGGCCUACCAAGACGGCGACGGGUAGCCGGCCGGAGAGGGUGGACGGUCUUAUGUGGAGUGAGGAACGGCCCAGACUCCUACGGGAGGCAGCAGUUGUGAAUAUUGCACUAUGGGUGAAACCCUGAUGCAGCGACGCCGCGUGGGGGAUGAAGGCCUUCGGGUUGUAAACUCCUUUCGCUAGGGACGAAGCUUUUUGUGACGGUACCUGGAGAAGAAGCACCGGCUAACUACGUG
rnacentral:rRNA from 1 species